GUUUAGAUUCUGACCUGAGUAUCUUGCUGC
rnacentral:piRNA from 1 species